UACGAAGGGUGCAAGCGUUACUCGGAAUUACUGGGCGUAAAGCGUGCGUAGGUGGUUUGUUAAGUCUGAUGUGAAAGCCCCGGGCUCAACCUGGGAAUGGCAGUGGAUACUGGCAAGCUAGAGUGCGGUAGAGGGGUGUGGAAUUCCCGGUGUAGCGGUGAAAUGCGUAGAGAUCGGGAGGAACACCAGUGGCGAAGGCGGCACCCUGGACCAGCACUGACGCUGAGGCACGAAAGCGUGGGGAGCAAACAGG
rnacentral:rRNA from 1 species